UUUUCAAAAGAAAUAGUGAAAUGUAGUAGAAAAGAUCCUUCAAGAUUAGAAACAACUAAAUGAGAGGCAAACUAAUAUAAAAAGAUUUUCUACUUUGUGGGGGAGAGAAAAUCACAAGAAAAAUAGUAUGUGAAAUAAGUCAAAAAACUUGUAUAGAGAUAUCCAUGAAGAGUAGAAUGAGAAUAUGUUUCAACAUAUUCAUCCUUAAGAAAAAAAUUUGAGAUUGUAGAAAAAUUAAUUUACCCUUAUCUCGGUAUUUCACCUAGC
rnacentral:lncRNA from 1 species